rnacentral:misc_RNA from 1 species
UUGGAGAAAGAAAACUUUAGAUACAAACAUUAAACCUGAUCAAAUUUACACACAUAAUUAACAUCUGAGAAAAAGUAGAAAAUAACACAAAAAACAACAGCACCAGACAGGGAAAAUGAAAAGAUAAAAGGUCUCUUCAACUCUUCAAGACCUGCUGCUCUUGAAUGGAAUAGCUCUGAUGAUUAUCUGAUGGUAAACUGCAGCAAGAGCUGCUCCAAUGAAUGGUCCAACCCAGAAAAUCCAGUGGUCAUCCCAUGCCUCGUCUUUGUUAAAGAUGAUAGCAGCUCCAAGACUCCUUGCGGGGUUGAUACCAGUUCCGGUGAUUGGAAUGGUAGCCAAAUGAACCAAGAACACCGCGAAUCCAAUUGGAAGAGGUGCCAAAAUAGGAACAUGUGAGUCUCUAGCACUUCUUUUGGCAUCAGUGGCAGAGAAAACAGUGUAAACAAGGACAAAAGUACCAAUAAUCUCAGCACCAAGUCCAUCACCUUUGGUGUAACCAGGAUUAACAACAUUAGCACCACCACCAAGUCUCUCAUAGGGUCCAACCAUAAAACCCUUCACAACACCAGCACCACAGAUAGCACCAAGACACUGCAUCACUAUAUAAAACACUGCCCUUGUUAAUGACAACUUCCUUGCCAAGAACAAACCAAAUGUCACAGCUGGAUUAAUGUGUCCUCCUGAGAUACCAGCA